GACGAACGCUGGCGGCGUGCUUAACACAUGCCAGUCGAACGGAACGUCCCUGCUUUUGUGGGGUGCUCGACUGGCGACCGGGUGAGUAACACGUGAGUAACCUGCCCUUGACUUUGGGGUAACUUCAGGAAACUGGGGCUAAUACCGGAUAGGAGCUCCUGCUUCAUGGUGGGCGUUGGAAAGUUUCGGCGGUUGGGGAUGGACUCGCGGCUUAUCAGCUUGUUGGUGGGGUAGUGGCUUACCAAGGCUUUGACCGGUAGCCGGCCUGAGAGGGUGACCGGCCACAUUGGGACUGAGAUACGGCCCGGACUCCUACGGGAGGCAGCGGUGGGGAAUAUUGCACAAUGGGCGGAAGCAUGAUGCAGCAACGCCGCGUGCGGGAUGACGGCCUUCGGGUUGUAAACCGCUUUCGCCUGUGACGAAGCGUGAGUGACGGUAAUGGGUAAAGAAGCACCGGCUAACUACGUG
rnacentral:rRNA from 1 species